rnacentral:rRNA from 1 species
AACGAACGCUGGCGGCAUGCCUAACACAUGCAAGUCGAACGAGACCUUCGGGUCUAGUGGCGCACGGGUGCGUAACGCGUGGGAACCUGCCCUUAGGUUCGGAAUAACUCCCCGAAAGGGGUGCUAAUACCGGAUAAUGUCUUCGGACCAAAGAUUUAUCGCCUUUGGAUGGGCCCGCGUUGGAUUAGCUAGUUGGUAGGGUAAAAGCCUACCAAGGCGACGAUCCAUAGCUGGUCUGAGAGGAUGAUCAGCCACACUGGGACUGAGACACGGCCCAGACUCCUACGGGAGGCAGCAGUGGGGAAUAUUGGACAAUGGGCGAAAGCCUGAUCCAGCAAUGCCGCGUGAGUGAUGAAGGCCUUAGGGUUGUAAAGCUCUUUUACCCGGGAUGAUAAUGACAGUACUGGGAGAAUAAGCUCCGGCUAACUCCGU